UCGACGUGCUUGACCCGAUCGAGCCACGCGCUGGCGCCGGUGAACAUCGCGGUGGAGGUUUCCAGCAACGCUUCGCUCCAGCCGGAGAUGUCCUGAUAGAACGCGGCGGCGCCAUCGAACAUGGACUCCAUGCUCGUGACCUUGGAGGUAUCCCACGAGCCGAUGGCUUGAUUGAACGCGGCGGCGCCUUCGAACAUGCGAGCCAUGUGCGUGACCUGCGAGGUAUCCCACGAGCCGAUCGGCUGGUUGAACGCGGCGGCGCCAUAGAACAUGUACCUCAUGUUCGUGACCUUGGAGGUAUCCCACGAGCCGAUGGCUUGAUUGAACGCGGCGGCGCCUUGGAACAUGGCACCCAUGUUCGUGACCUUGGAGGUAUCCCACGAGCCGAUGGCUUGAUUGAACGCGGCGGCGCCUUCGAACAUGCGAGCCAUGUGCGUGACCUGCGAGGUAUCCCACGAGCCGAUCGGCUGGUUGAACGCGGCAGCGCCAUAGAACAUGUACUCCAUUCUCGUGACCUUGGAGGUAUCCCACGAGCCGAUGGCUUCAUUGAAAGCGGCGGCGCCACGGAACAUGUACCACAUGUGCGUGACCUGCGAGGUAUUCCACGAGCCGAUCGGCUGAUUGAACGCGGCGGCGCCAUAGAACAUGGACCCGAUGCUCGUGACCUUUGAGGUAUCCCACGAGCCGAUGGCUUGAUUGAAAGCGGCGGCGUCUCGGAACAUGUUCACCAUGUGCGUGACCUGCGAGGUAUCCCACGAGCCGAUGGCUUGAUUGAACUUGGCGGCGCCUCGGAACAUGUCCCCCAUGUGCUCGACCUGCGAUGUAUCCCACGUGCCGAUGGGUUGGUUGAAUGAGGCUUUCCCGUUAAACAGGCUGUUCAUGUCUGUAACCCGCGACACGUCCCAAUCCGGCAUGUCCACGCACCCCGCGCUCCCGCACCGCGCCAAGCUCGGAUCGGUGCAGUUCGGGUCCGUCGAGCAGCACGCCUCGCCGUUCGGGUCGGGUCCGUAGAGCAGGCACGCGUCCACCGCGUCUUUGAGGCCCUGGUUGUCGCCGUCGCAGACGGUGUCGACGCCGGCAGCCGGGUCGUCGCCGGCGGCAUUGGAGAACAUGCCGCCGCACGGCACGCACCACCCGGACUGCACUCGCUCGUCCGCCAGGCACGGCUUGUGGACCCACUCGCUGAUCGGGCCGUCGAUGGAUGCGGAGCCGUCGACGCGCUCAACCCGAUCGAGCCACGCGGUGGCGCCGGUGAACAUCGCGGCGAAACCGGCCGCGUCGCUCCAGCCAGUGAUGUCCUGAUAAAACGCGGCGGCGCCAUAGAACAUGUACCCCAUGAUCGUGACCUUGGAGGUAUCCCACGAGCCGAUGGGUUGAUUGAACGCGGCGGCGCCUUCGAACAUGCGAUACAUGUCCGUGACCUGCGAGGUAUCCCACGAGCC
rnacentral:lncRNA from 1 species